GACAGAGGAUGCAAGCGUUAUCUGGAAUGAUUGGGUGUAAAGCGUCUGUAGGUGGCUUUUUAAGUCCGCCGUCAAAUUCCAGGGCUCAACCCUGGACAGGCGGUGGAAACUACCAAGCUGGAGUACGAUAGGGGCAGAGGGAAUUUUCGGUGGAGCGGUGAAAUGCGUAGAGAUCGGAAAGAACACCAACGGCGAAAGCACUCUGCUGGGCCGACACUGACACUGAGAGACGAAAGCUAGGGGAGAGAAUGGG
rnacentral:rRNA from 1 species